GACGAACGCUGGCGGCGUGCUUAACACAUGCAAGUCGAGCGGUAAGGCCCUUUCGGGGGUACACGAGCGGCGAACGGGUGAGUAACACGUGGGUGACCUGCCCUCAGCUCUGGGAUAAGCCUGGGAAACCGGGUCUAAUACUGGAUAUGACUCCAUGACGCAUGUUGUGGGGUGGAAAGCCUUGUGCGGCUGAGGAUGGGCCCGCGGCCUAUCAGCUUGUUGGUGGGGUGAUGGCCUACCAAGGCGACGACGGGUAGCCGGCCUGAGAGGGCGACCGGCCACACUGGGACUGAGACACGGCCCAGACUCCUACGGGAGGCAGCAGUGGGGAAUCUUGCGCAAUGGGCGAAAGCCUGACGCAGCGACGCCGCGUGAGGGAUGACGGCCUCGGUUC
rnacentral:rRNA from 1 species